CAUGUACUCCCUCCGUCCGAAAAUACUUGUCAUUGAAAUGGAUGUAUCUAGAUGUAUUUUAGUUCUAGACACAUCCAUUUUGAUGACAAGUAAUUCCGGACGGAGGGAGUACUUG
rnacentral:pre_miRNA from 1 species